GCUGCUUUACCGACACAUCAAAGAGCAAGAUUGCCACCCAGGACGAUGAGCGGCUGAGAUGGAGACGUCUGCCUCAGCCACUGCCUCCGAGAAGCAAGAAGCCAAAAGUGGGAUCCUGGAGGCCGCUGGCUUCCCCGACCCGGGUAAAAAGGCCUCUCCUUUGGUGGUGGCUGCAGCGGCAGCAGCAGCGGUAGCUGCCCAAGGAGGCCGCAGCAUCUCUUGCCACCAUUCCAUGCGCCCCUACCGAUUGACAUGCGACACCAGGAAGGAAGGUACCAUUACGAGCCUCAUUCUGUCCACGGU
rnacentral:lncRNA from 1 species